GCGGAAGCCGCCCGCCCGCACGCCCCCCCGCUGCUGCAGAGGCCGCACCACCGCCCCCACCACCACCGCGAGCACCAGCAGCACCACGACCAGCCAGACAACUACUCCUCCACUGCUGCACCAGGAAUUCCUGCUCCAGCUGCGACACGCGAAUCUUUCGUCGUCGCGCCCUUCUCGCAACUGGAGGAUGACUUCCAAGAGGCCGAACUAGCGAGGGACGUUCCGCACUCAGAGACAUCUGCCGCCGGCUUCGGAGACCUCCUGCAGCGCGCCAAGCGCCACAUCCUCGACUGGUGGCACGGAGCGGAACCGAGUCAUCACAAGGAAGUUUCAGCCCCGCACUCGCGCGUCCGUCGUCAGGAGGAUGACUACGGCAAUGAAGAUGAUUACGAUGACAACUACAACGGUCCGGACGACGCAGAUGACGACGAGAAUGGCAACUACGACCAGAAUGGCGAGAACGGCAAUGGGGACAACGGCUACGGAC